GACGAACGCUGGCGGCGUGCUUAACACAUGCAAGUCGAACGGUGAACGAGGGAGCUUGCUCCCUCCGGAUCAGUGGCGAACGGGUGAGUAACACGUGAGCAAUCUGCCCCUAACUCUGGGAUAAGCUUUGGAAACGACGUCUAAUACCGGAUACGACGCUGGAGGGCAUCCUCUCCGCGUGGAAAGAACUUCGGUUCGGGAUGAGCUCGCGGCCUAUGAUCUUGUUGGUGAGGUAACGGCUCACCAAGGCGAAGACGGGUAGCCGGCCUGAGAGGGUGACCGGCCACAAUGGGACUGAGACACGGCCCAGACUCCUACGGGAGGCAGCAGUGGGGAAUAUUGCACAAUGGGCGCAAGCCUGAUGCAGCAACGCCGCGUGAGGGAAGACGGCCUUCGGGUUGUAAACCUCUUUUAGAAGGGAAGAAGCGAAAGUGACGGUACCUGCAGAAAAAGCACCGGCUAACUACGUG
rnacentral:rRNA from 1 species